rnacentral:sRNA from 1 species
UCGCCACUAGUUUUUCUGCGAUGCCAGA